UGCUACAGUGCCUAUAGUUAUGGUAACGAUAUUAGGGAAACCUGCUAUUAUAGGUUUCUAUUACCUUUAGUGACAGAUCAAAUCUUUUAGUGACUUUUUAAAUAUUAUAUUAAAAUAAUUAAUAUUAACUUUAGUAAGUUUUUAAUUAAAACUAGUAAGUAUAUGCCUGAAAGAUAAGAUUUAGUCAGAAAUAGAAAUUUACACUUUGAGUAAUUUAAUUUACUUAUUAUUUGACAAAAUUUACUUAUGUUUAAAUUAAACUUACCAAUACUGAAAGUAAAAAAUGUACAUAUUUAAGUAAAAAAACGGUUUUGGGUAUCACCUUUCUUUUUAAAGUUAUCUACCUUCUUCUUAUUCAGUUCCCAGUUCCAAUGAUACGAUUGAAUUCCCAGGCAAAGGUUUCCACUUUGAUCCACACUUUCUCUUUGUUACAAUUGAAUAAAUCUUCUCACUUCAAAAUUUUCAUCUUUAGUUCACACUUUGCUUCUAUCCUUUCUCAUCGUUCGGUUGGGUUUGAGUGCUGCCAUAUGCAAACACAACAAAAGGGUUAGCGACGGUGGUAGCCAGCCAAAGAGCAUAUGAAAAAUAGCAGUGACGAGGCAAAGGUUUCCACUUUGGUCCAUACUUUCUCUUGGUCCAAUUGUUGUUGCUACAAAGGGACAAAAGGCAAAACAGUCCACUCACAAGCGAAAGCGAAGACGAUGCAAAAAUUGCAAGUCAUUUGGACAUGAUAGACGAAAAUGUACUAAAGUGUGCACAGAUGCAUAUGAAACUCACAAUUAUGAUCAUGUUGGGGCACCCAAUAAUGUUGAGAAUGUAAAUUUGAAUCUGAUAGGAUCAUCCGAUGGCCUAUUGCAAUCAGAUUCACAGCAUGGAUGCAAUAAGGAAUUAAUGGAUAGUAAUUGGUUUCAGAUCAUUCCUCCUGGUCAGGCAUUAAUGUGGGCAUGCAAUCCUUCAUUAAUCCAAAGUCAUGUACAAAACACUAGCUUGUUAGGAGAUGAAAAGUAUUCAGUGAAUGAACCAGAUUUCAGCCAAGACCAUUAAGGAAUUUUAUUCUUGAGAGAGUACAAAUGUUUUUGCACGUCUUUGCUCAAAGCUUUUAGGAUGAUUUAAGUUUCUUCGAAGCUUGCUUGGAAAAAAGUUUGGUGAUCAAAUUUCAGAUAUUGUUAGCAUCCAAGUGCUCUUGGGUUUGUAAACCAGAAAUGUCAAUCCAAACUGAAGCUUUUGAUAGUGAUAUCAGAGCCCUUGAUGCUGGUGAUCAAAUUCUCAAAUCAAGUUACUAGCCUUUUGAUUGCUUCAGAUUUCUGAAGCCAAAGUCUUUGUGCUCUAAAUUCAGUUCUUGGCCAUGUAAUCUUGUCAUGCUUAGAUAGUUAUAUCUAGUGUCCUGCCAGCUUAAUUUUGAUGCGUAAGUAUCAAUUAUUAAAAGUUAGAUUCAUUCUGAUGCUCAAAAUGA